UUCCGGUUGAUCCCGCCAGAGGUCACUGCUAUCGGUGUUCGACUAAGCCAUGCGAGUCAAAUGUUCUUCGUGAACAUGGCGUACUGCUCAGUAACACGUGGAUAACCUGCCCUUAGGUCUGGCAUAACCCCGGGAAACUGGGGAUAAUUCCGGAUAGAUCAUCGAUGCUGGAAUGCGCUUUGAUCCAAAGCUAUUGUGCCUAAGGAUGGGUCUGCGGUCUAUCAGGUUGUAGUGGGUGUAAUGUACCUACUAGCCUACGACGGAUACGGGUUGUGGGAGCAAGAGCCCGGAGAUGGAUUCUGAGACAUGAAUCCAGGCCCUACGGGGCGCAGCAGGCGCGAAAACUUUACAAUGCGGGGAACCGCGAUAAGGGGACACCGAGUGCCAGCAUCCCAUGUUGGCUGUCCAUAUGUCUAAAUCACAUGUGUUAGCAAGGGCCGGGCAAGACCGGUGCCAGCCGCCGCGGUAACACCGGCGGCCCGAGUGGUGGCCACUAUUAUUGGGUCUAAAGGGUCCGUAGCCGGUUUGGUCAGUCUUCCGGGAAAUCUGACGGCUCAACCGUUAGGCUUUCGGGGGAUACUACCAGGCUUGCGACCGGGAGAGGUAAGAGGUACUACGGGGGUAGGAGUGAAAUCUUGUAAUCCCUGUGGGACCACCAGUGGCGAAGGCGUCUUACCAGAACGGGUCCGACGGUGAGGGACGAAAGCUGGGGGCACGAACCGGAUUAGAUACCCGGGUAGUCCCAGCUGUAAACUAUGCUCGCUAGGUGUCAGGGACGGUGCGACUGUUUCUGGUGCCGCAGGGAAGCCGUGAAGCGAGCCACCUGGGAAGUACGGUCGCAAGGCUGAAACUUAAAGGAAUUGGCGGGGGAGCACUACAACGGGUGGAGCCUGCGGUUUAAUUGGACUCAACGCCGGAA
rnacentral:rRNA from 1 species